rnacentral:rRNA from 1 species
AUUGAACGCUGGCGGCAGGCCUAACACAUGCAAGUCGAACGAGUGGCGGACGGGUGAGUAAUGUCUGGGAAACUGCCUGAUGGAGGGGGAUAACUACUGGAAACGGUAGCUAAUACCGCAUACCAUCGGAUGUGCCCAGAUGGGCUUAGCUAGUAGGGGGGGUAAAGGCUCACCUAGGCGACGACCCCUAGCUGGUCGGAGAGGAUGACCAGGCACACUGGAACUUAGACACGGUCCAGACUCCUACGUGAGGCAGUAGUGGGGAAUAUUGCACAAUGGGCGCAAGCCUGAUGCAGCCAUGCCGCGUGUAGGAAGAAGGCCUUCGGGUUGUAAAGUACUUUCAGCGGGGAGGCGUUACCCGCAGAAGAAGCACCGGCUAACUCCGUGCCAGCCGCCGCGGUAAUUC